rnacentral:rRNA from 1 species
CCUACGGGGGGCUGCAGUCGAGAAUCAUUCACAAUGGGGGAAACCCUGAUGGUGCGACGCCGCGUGGGGGAAUGAAGGUCUUCGGAUUGUAAACCCCUGUCAUGUGGGAGCAAAUUAAGAAGAUAGUACCACAAGAGGAAUAGACGGCUAACUCCGUGCCAGCAACCGCGGUAAUACAGAGGUCUCAAGCGUUGUUCGGAAUCACUGGGCUUAAAGCGUGCGUAGGCGGUUUCGUAAGUCGUGUGUGAAAGGCGCGGGCUCAACCAGCGGACUGCACAUGAUACUGGGAGACUAGAGUAAGGGUGGGGGAAGCGGAAUGCUCGGUGUAGCAGUGAAAUGCGUAGAUAUCGAGAGGAACCCUCGUGGCGAAGGCGGGCUCCUGGACAUUAACUGACGCUGAGGCACGAAGGCCAGGGGAGCGAAAGGGAUUAGAUACCCGGGUAGUC